rnacentral:rRNA from 1 species
UACGUAGGGUGCAAGCGUUGUCCGGAAUUAUUGGGCGUAAAGAGCGUGUAGGCGGCCCCGUUAGUCCGCUGUGAAAGUCCAGGGCUCAACCCUGGAAUGCCGGUGGAUACUGCGGGGCUAGAGUCUGGAAGGGGCGAGUGGAAUUCCUGGUGUAGCGGUGAAAUGCGCAGAUAUCAAGAGGAACACCUGAGGUGAAGACGGGUUGCUGGGCUGACACUGACGCUGAGGCGCGAAAGCCAGGGGAGCAAACGGG